GUGGGGAAUAUUGGACAAUGGGCGAAAGCCUGAUCCAGCCAUGCCGCGUGUGUGAAGAAGGUCUUCGGAUUGUAAAGCACUUUAAGUUGGGAGGAAGGGUAGUAACCUAAUACGUUGCUACUUUGACGUUACCGACAGAAUAAGCACCGGCUAACUUCGUGCCAGCAGCCGCGGUAAUACGAAGGGUGCAAGCGUUAAUCGGAAUUACUGGGCGUAAAGCGCGCGUAGGUGGUUCAGUAAGUUGGAAGUGAAAUCCCCGGGCUCAACCUGGGAACUGCUUUCAAAACUGCUGAGCUAGAGUACGGUAGAGGGUGGUGGAAUUUCCUGUGUAGCGGUGAAAUGCGUAGAUAUAGGAAGGAACACCAGUGGCGAAGGCGACCACCUGUACUGAUACUGACACUGAGGUGCGAAAGCGUGGGGAGCAAACAGGAUUAGAUACCCUAGUAGCC
rnacentral:rRNA from 1 species